UACGUAGGGUGCGAGCGUUGUUCGGAAUUACUGGGCGUAAAGAGCUCGUAGGCGGUUUGUCGCGUCUGCUGUGAAAACGCGAGGCUCAACCUCGCGCCUGCAGUGGGUACGGGCAGACUAGAGUGCGGUAGGGGAGAUUGGAAUUCCUGGUGUAGCGGUGGAAUGCGCAGAUAUCAGGAGGAACACCGAUGGCGAAGGCAGAUCUCUGGGCCGUUACUGACGCUGAGGAGCGAAAGCGUGGGGAGCGAACAGG
rnacentral:rRNA from 1 species